AAUAGAGGAGCGGGCGAGCAAAAGUACGACUGCCGCAAAAGAGCGGAAACUGGCAGACAGAAAGGGCAUCCCCGCCGAAGCGCAGGAAGGUAUCCGCAGCCCCUGCUGCUGGGCGUAAGGGAGAAUACCUUUGCGACUGUCACCAACGUGGAGAACUAUU
rnacentral:ncRNA from 2 species